GACGAACCGUGCGAACGUUAUUCGGAAUCAUUGGGCUUAAAGGGCGCGUAGGCGGCGGUGUAAGUUGGAAGUGAAAUCCCAUCGGCUCAACCGUGGAAUUGCUCCCAGUACUGCACUGCUCGAGGGGGAUAGGGGUCUGCGGAACUACCGGUGGAGCGGUGAAAUGUGUUGAUAUCGGUGGGAACGCCAGUGGCGAAAGCGGCAGACUUGACCCUUCCUGACGCUGAAGCGCGAAAGCUAGGGGAGCAAACGGG
rnacentral:rRNA from 1 species